AGAGUUUGAUCCUGGCUCAGAUUGAACGCUGGCGGCAUGCCUUACACAUGCAAGUCGAACGGUAACAGGUCUUCGGAUGCUGACGAGUGGCGAACGGGUGAGUAAUACAUCGGAACGUGCCCAGACGUGGGGGAUAACGAGGCGAAAGCUUUGCUAAUACCGCAUACGAUCUAAGGAUGAAAGCAGGGGACCGCAAGGCCUUGCGCGUUUGGAGCGGCCGAUGGCAGAUUAGGUAGUUGGUGGGAUAAAAGCUUACCAAGCCAACGAUCCAUAGCUGGUCUGAGAGGAUGAUCAGCCACACUGGGACUGAGACACGGCCCAGACUCCUACGGGAGGCAGCAGUGGGGAAUAUUGGACAAUGGGCGCAAGCCUGAUCCAGCCAUGCCGCGUGAGUGAUGAAGGCCCUAGGGUUGUAAAGCUCUUUCACCGGUGAAGAUAAUGACGGUAACCGGAGAAGAAGCCCCGGCUAACUUCGUGCCAGCAGCCGCGGUAAUACGAAGGGGGCUAGCGUUGUUCGGAUUUACUGGGCGUAAAGCGCACGUAGGCGGACUUUUAAGUCAGGGGUGAAAUCCCGGGGCUCAACCCCGGAACUGCCUUUGAUACUGGAAGUCUUGAGUAUGGAAGAGGUAAGUGGAAUUGCGAGUGUAGAGGUGAAAUUCGUAGAUAUUCGCAGGAACACCAGUGGCGAAGGCGGCUUACUGGUCCAUUACUGACGCUGA
rnacentral:rRNA from 1 species